rnacentral:lncRNA from 1 species
GCACAUGGCAGUCAAUCUUUUCUCUUUGAUCAAAUUCAGCUGCUCGUAACGAUUCUGAAUCCAUUCAGCAUCAGUCAACCUUGGGGUUUGAAGAUAUUUUUUUUCUUUUCUUAGUUUUUUUUUUAUUUCUUUUUUUGAUUUUGAUUUUGAUUUUGUUUUUCACCCCUCUUUUUUUUUUGAUUACAUUUGUAAUGCCCCAGUAUGACUAUUUUGCUGAUUCUCAAGAUACAGCUGAAUGAUCUUCUUUUCGUGCUCAAGGAGACGAGUGAUCUCAUCAGGAAUCUUGUCAACAUCAUCUUCCUUUGCCUCAAAUACAGGGAAUUCAAAAUUGGGAGAUGGCGUUGGAUCAUUAUGUUCAAUGGGUUUAGAAAUCAACCUGCAUAAUGAUUUUGGAUAUGAAAAGCUUUUUGGAAAUCAAACAAGGCAAUCAUUAUGCAGAUGAAAAGAUUGC